GGUCUAAUAUCGUUGUUUUUGGUUCUAGUUUUGUUAUUUUAUAUUCAAAUCUUUAACUUUGAUUGGUGGGUAUAUUUUAUCAAAUGCAUUUGUUAUUGGAUCUAGGUGUUGAGUCUUAAUGCUUCAUUUGAUGUCUCUGAUGGUGAUGACACUUGCUUUGCUAUCAAGCUUGCAUUGUUUGGUUGAUUGAGUGUGAUUAGAGUAAGAAUUUGGCAAGCUUUUGUGUUUUUAGCUCCUUGGAAAACUUUUGGGAUGAGUGUCGAAUUAGUUCUUUAAAAAAUGUAUCUUUUUUAAGAUCAUUAUGCGGUUCUCUUCCAUAUGCUUAAGUUGGGAUUAAUC
rnacentral:misc_RNA from 1 species